UCUCCCAGUCUGGCCUCCUGUCUGGGAUUGCCCUGGCCCAGGUGCAGCACCUUGCACUUGGCCUUGUUGAACCUCAUUAGGUUCACAUGGGCCUUCACUUCGCCAGCAUACCCAGGUCCCUUUGGAUGGCAUCCCCUCCUUCUGGCGUAUCAGCUGUACCUCUCAGCUUGGUGUCAUCUGCAAACUUGCUGAGGGUGCACUCAAUCCCACUGUCUAUGUGACUGAUGAAGAUAUUAAACAGCACUGGACCCAGGACCGACCCCUUACCAACAUGUAGCUGAGAGCUGCCCAUGUGAAUACAGGAGAAGUGGGCUGGUCAGGCUCUCAGGAGCACCCGCUCAGAUCUUUGUGGGCCCGUCUGUGCCGGGAGAGAAGCCUUCUUCAUCACCUUGUUCACCACAGCAAGAGAUGUGCCCCAAAAUAUGUGUCUGCAGGGCAGCAGGGAUAUGAGAGAGGAUGCCUCAAUGCCCAGGCAAGGGCUGCUCCUGCUCAGGUGGCCCCAAGCAGCAGCCAGCAGCACAAAUGACCACCAGCAGUGACACAAGGACAAUGACAUGGCUGGAAAUCCCUGUGGGGACUCUGCCCCGUGGUGCUUGUGCCUCGUGACAGCAGCUUAGGACCAGCUGCGCUGGCCAGGCAGGCUGGUGGCUUGCCUUGCAGGGGGCUGCGGCAUUAGGUCUGCACCGAGUAGCUCCUCCUCCCCACCAGAGGGACUACCUCCAGGCCUAGAAAGUGCUUUGGCCCUGGUGGAGGUGGCAGAGGAUGUCAGGGCCUGCUGGCCUGACCACUGCCCCAGUGGUGGGUGCUUUUGUUUGCAUUCAGGAUGCUUUUACGGCAUUGCACUGCCUGGAGUUUCUCUGUUAUGCAAAUAGGUUGAGAAAUAGAGGAUAUGAGAUUAAGGCUAUGCAACACUCAACUGGAUGAAUUAUUUGCCCCUGUGGGUCCCCAGACAGAUCUUAACAGUCUGUACAGCUCCGUUCUUGCUUGCUUACUCUGUCAGUGCUAUGGACUAUUUGUCCCCAACUUUAAACAUCUUUUACCAGUUAUUUUCCAGAAGCCAAACUAGUGCUUACAUAACCAUCAGUAGUUAUGCAACCCACCAUUCAAGCUUUGUUUGCUGGGAAACAAUGUGUGUUUGUUUAUUCAUUCUUUGUCCUUCUCAAUGGAGGAAAUACAUCCUGUGUGCCCUUGGCUCUGUCACUUUUUGCAGUUGUGAUGAACAUCUCUGCCAGUCUCUUACUGCGCUCUGCUUCUACCUUCACACCCUUGCUUACCAGCACUGGAAGAUAAGUUAUCACAUGGGAUGUGAAUGGGUACAGAGGCACUGACUACCACGUGCUGAUGCUCAUUGUGCUCCUGCCACUGCAAACAAUACUAGUUUUGAACCUUCGGAUUCCGCUCUCACCUGCAACUAAUUUGGAAUUGUUUGAGAUUUCUGAUAGCUGGAGCCCUCUCUGUCUUAUUUCUUCUCCCCUGCACCAUGGAGGAGUGCGGAGAACCUGCUGUGAGAACUAGAAGAAAAAAAAUCGGCUCUAUUAGCUGGUAUACAAAAUGCGUUGGUCCAAGUUUGAAUGCUAUCAGUGAAGAAACUAGAAAUGCAAGUAACCUUAUACUUUCGGCUUGUGGCUAUAGAUUAGUCAACAUGUCCCCAUCCACAUGCACGCAUGGAUUGCUUACACUCCAAACGUCACCAAAGGUGCAUUAUGGCAUUAGGACACUCAUCGAGGAAAGGAUGAUGAAGGAUCUUGAAGGAUCUGCAGCUUUAUAGCUAUGUCUCAAGUUACUAAUACAACUUAGUAUCUAAUGAGAAGAGAUGUGCAAUGGAGCUGAACAUUCAUGAAGCCUUAGCCACAAGCUGCUUGUUGCAGUGCAAGGAAACCAGGGUGGGGCAUUACAUGCUCUGGAACAUGCCUUAGUAAGAUCAGGUUAAUGUCACAGCAAGUGAAAGCUAAUCCCUUCGGAGUAGCAAAGAAACUGCUUGCAUACACCAUAAUCUGGGGGUGGGUUUUAGCAAGCUACUUUAUCAACUGCCUUGUUUAGCAAUAGACCUAAAUUGCCAUAUUAAUCCUAGUGCCUGAGGUCAAGUAGUUCCUGCCCUCCUGCGCAACACUGCGCCAGGCGGAGGCAGUAGGCACUUGCCUGGCUUGCAGAUGACUUUUUAGAUGGAACUCAUUGACUUAGGAAGCUGAGUCUUUUGAAAGGAAUUCUUUCAGGAAAAGCAGUGUCCUUCAGUACAUACUGAAAGUACGGGUGAUUGCCAAUGGGUGGAGGUGAUGUCUGCAGAUUGACUACAGUCUAACUCCCAAAAGUGGCUUUGUAAUAUUACAGUAAUAUUACUGCAAUAUUAACAGCAAUAAUAACAGCAAUAGCCAGUGCCAGGGAAGCUUGUUACCUCCUGAAAGCAAGAGUUGUGCAGUAACUUGUGAAAACUUGGCCUGUAGCAGUUAAAGGACAUACCGCUGCAUGAAAAAAAGUAGCGUUGUGCUCUGCUCUAGACCUCAUGACAACAGUGUCCUCUCAAUACAUAUAUUCACCCAUACUGCUACAUACGUACUUGGAACUACCCCCUGAUUAAAGUAUGCACUUGCUAUUCAUGAACGCAUUACGUAGGCCUGUUGCCUAAUUGACAUGCAAAUUAUCAGAGGUUGCAAAAGCUACACUGAUACUUUAUUACAAGCUACUUCUCUCAAAGACCUGACUUAUUAGGAAUUGUUCACUGAUAAGCAGUUUUUCCACUGAAGGUUAGCGUGGAGCACACAUGAAAGUAGAACAUGCAACUGGAGUGAACUUGGGCAAGAACUUGGGCAGCCACAAGCAACCUUGCACCUCCCAUCCAUAUAAUGGGAUAUAGGCCCUCCCUUCCUAGGACAUUACACCCUGACUUUUUUUUUUUAAAGAAAAAAACAACUGUGUCAAGCAGUCACAAAGUACCACUUAUUAAAUCCCAUUGGCAAUUUUCCUCUUGAAACAACAGAAUGCUUCUCAGGUACAAAAAAGGACCCUGCUGAGCACUCAAGUGGAAGCACCUGCGUGAGACUACUGCACAUACAGCUAACCAAGAGUAAAGCAGCAGAGGGCAGGUAGCAGAACCCCUUCUAAAUGCUCUCCUGCUCAUACUGCAGCAUUAUCUUAAGUAAGAAUAUACUAAGUUUUUGUGCAUGCAUAGUACUACAUCAACACAUCUGCUAGCUUUAAAGUUCUGACAGGAGCUCGGGCGCAACCUCUAGAGACUUGGCUGACUGCAAAACCUAAGCACCUAAAACCUAAACUGCAUUAGUUCUUGGGCUAUCAACACCUGACAGCUGAUUUCUGCUUGCUGGCCGUAGCUGCCUUGGCGAACACUAGACCUGCUUCCCUGCCCACAUUGCAUAGGCUGUUCGGCUCCCUCUUGGCCCUGGGAGAGGCAAGGCCAGUAGCACCCAUGUGGUGCCAGAACUGUUGUGAAUGUUGCACCCUUCUGUAGCUCAUGAGUGGUUAAGAACAUUCCCAUCUCAGCUUCAGUGUAGCACUAUCCUAACCUUUGUUUGUACUGAUAUGGGUUAGCACCUCCCAACACGUAAGAUGCCCUGGGACUGACUAAAAAAAUAACAGCCCAGGGAUAAGGCAUAGUGUUUUACACCCACUCCCAGAUAGAAUUAGGAUGCACAUGGAGUGUACCACAGGGCUAGAUGCCCACAAAACCCAUGUGAAAGAAUGGAGAAGCAGAGGGGAGCCUAGACAUAGCCUCAACAAAUUUAAGGUAGAAGUUCCUGAGGAGCUUUAAGUACCCAUAGGCCUUCUUUUAAUAGAUAAACUCAUCCCUCACACUACACAAGGAAAUGGUACUGAAAGUUCUGGUUUACACUCAUUGAGAAGGCAGUACUUCAGAUGAAGGUCAGUGUAGAUCACUUUUUAUUCCAGGGAUGCCCUUUUAACCACUGACAAUUCAUCUUACGGAAGCUGAAUAUGAAAAAUAAAAAUACAACUAAACAGUGGCUCUAGAAAUUUAUUUUCAGAGCUUAGUGCUUUAACUAUGAUUAAAAUGCUUAUAAGCAAUUUAAAAAUGCUACUGACUGGGUACUAGAACUAGAUGAGAGUAAGAUUAACACCAUUACUUUCAUGCACUGACAGAUACUAAUUUGCUCAUUCCACUGAAGUAAGAUCUUUCCCGUUCACUCAUCACUUCAAAAUGUAGAGGUCUUCUACAGAAGUUACAUUCAGCUGAUGAGUGUGGUUUCAGCUCCAGACCAACAUCCUUCCAUGUAGCCAGCAGUUUUUC